rnacentral:rRNA from 1 species
UACGAAGGGGGCUAGCGUUGCUCGGAAUCACUGGGCGUAAAGGGCGCGUAGGCGGCCAUUCAAGUCAGGGGUGAAAGCCUGUGGCUCAACCACAGAAUUGCCUUUGAUACUGUUUGGCUAGAGACCGGAAGAGGUAAGUGGAACUGCGAGUGUAGAGGUGAAAUUCGUAGAUAUUCGCAAGAACACCAGUGGCGAAGGCGGGUUGCUGGGCUGAUACUGACGCUGAGGCGCGAAAGCCAGGGGAGCGAACGGG